rnacentral:lncRNA from 1 species
AGAUGUUCCCCUUUUAGAACGGCGGAUGAUAUCCAAUUACUUGGGUUCAGGCCCAGGGCAACAAAUUAUUGAGGGCAUCAAAAUUGUCCAACUAGUUAUAUGUAUAGUAUAUAUGACAAUGGCCCGAAAACUUAUCCCAUGGUGAUGAUCUGUUUACUGAUGUCGUGACUCGUGAGAAAAAAAGCUAGGGAGCACACGCCUCGAACCAAACGUCGCACAUGCCUAGAAUCCCGCUGGUGUUGCUGUCGAUUGGAGAAAUCAAUUCCUACCUAGAAUACGUCCCUCAUAAAUAAAAAGUAAGAGCAGAUUUCUCUUUUGUUUCCUUCCGGUAGAUAAUCGAUAUUAUAUGGCUCUCAAAUCUCAAAUUAAUCAUUAUCAAUCGACACUUAGUCCGGAAAAGCAACAAUUUCUCUAAUCUGGUCCGGUUUUCUCUAAUUUGAUACAGCAAAAGGCGAUUCUGAAUUUCUGAUUUAGUAGUUCACUGAUUUGGGUGUGAUUUAUUUCUUGUUGGUUAUUUAAGAAAUCAGAUUUAGGUGAGUUCAAUCGAAACUUGUGUUUAUUUAGGUUCGUUUCAGAAAUCUGUUUGAUUUAUUAUUCAUCUGAUGAUCUGAUUUCUUCUCUAAUUCAUUACAGGAAAAAGUAGUUAAAGUCCCAAAGAGUUCAUUCUAAGUUUUCUAGUUCAGAAAUCAUAUUUCUGUUUCAGUCUUUUAGAAAUCAAAUCAGCUUUCUCCUCUGUUUGUGUUUGUGUCGGAUAUUGUUGUUUCAGAAAUAAGAUUUUAGUUACUUUAAUUUUGAAAUUUGUUUGUGUUCACUGUUCAAUAUUUGUUGUCUAAACAUUCUUCCUAAUUUUUGUGUUAUUGUUUAUGUGAUGUGCAGAUAAAAAUUCUUUCUGAAUCUGAAUCUGAUUGUAGAGAACUUGUUUCACGGGAAUCCCAUUAAUAAAAGAAAGUUGAAGUAGCUGUUUGGCACACCCCAUCACAUGUGGUUACAGGGGCAGUGCUUGGGAUCCUGGUUGCGUGUAUUUGUUGUCAAUGUUUGCUUUGGUGUAAUCUGAAAUCUGAAUUCUAUGCAUUUGUUGUCAAUGUUUGCUUUGGUGUAAUCUGAAAUCUGAAUUCUAUGCAGGAUUGUUUUAUUUUAAAAACAAAUUUGUUUGAUUUUGGUGGAUUGAUUAGUUAUAUAUAAAACAAGUCAUAAGUUGUUAUAUUAUAAUCCUAAAAAAAU